GAAGAAGAAGAGAAGGAGGAGGAGGAGGAAGAAGAAGGGAGCAACUGAAGAUACAGGAACCAGGCUCCGGACUCAGCUCUUCCCACAUCUCAUUCCAAUGAUCACAACCUCUCUGCGUCUUCCAUGUAAGGGAACUAAGUCUCAGAGAAACUUUCAGAAAAGAAAUGCAAGGGACAAAUUGGGACUUCCCUCUGAAAUGCUGAAGAUCCUCAGAAACACGCUCCCUGACAGAUACAAGCCUGGGCCCCCACACAGGGACGUCACCCCGCCUCACCCACGCGCUCUCGUCCUGUGAUGUCCUCUCCCCCGAACUUGGUCAUUAGUAGCACUGCCUCUCCCCCCGCAAGCUGAAGGCAGCUGGCUGCAGAUGCGAGGUUGUUCUGCUUUGUAGGUUCUUCAUUAUCUCUGGCAACCGCCUCCGGGCCUGCCUGCUCCAGCCCUGGUUGAUAACUCUCUUCUGCCUGACUUAUUAUGAUAAAACUUAGAAACAGGGACUCGAGGGAGAUUUUAAUCCAGUUGAGUGGACAGAUGAAGUGGGGAACGGAUUUUUUAUAGGCACACAGCAGGGAUCAGCAAACGAGGCAGCCCACACACGCCAUCCGGCCCACCACCAGACUUUGUACUUAAAGUUUUAUUGGAACAUGGCCACGCCCAUUUGUUUCUAGACCAUUGACGGCUGUUUUCCUGCUACAGCCGUGGAGGUGAGUCGCUGCAACAGAAACCACGUGGCCCAUGAAGCCAACCUCGUUUUCUUGUCUGGCCGUUUGCAGAACAAGUCUGCCCAGGUGCAGAGUGAAAAAUGGGCAGGUGUCAAGGGUCUGCCGGGGGCUGGAUUACUGCAUCGGGGACAGCACUCCCCUCUCAGAUCAUGUCACCCUCAAAUGCAUCUUUGAGAGAGGGUUUAUGAUCCCCCAUUUUAGAAAAAAACAAAGUUCAGCAAGGCCAGGGUUCACACUAAGCGCAGCCCCUCACCA